GAAUAUCAAUAAGCGGAGGAAAAGAAACCAACCGGGAUUGCCUCAGUAACGGCGAGUGAAGCGGCAAGAGCUCAAAUUUGAAAGCUGGCUCCUUCGGGGUCCGCAUUGUAAUUUGCAGAGGAUGCUUCGGGUGCGGCCCCUGUCUAAGUACCCUGGAACGGGUCGUCAGAGAGGGUGAGAAUCCCGUCUGGGAUAGGGUGUCCGCGCCCGUGUGAAGCUCCUUCGACGAGUCGAGUUGUUUGGGAAUGCAGCUCUAAAUGGGUGGUAAAUUUCAUCUAAAGCUAAAUACUGGCCGGAGACCGAUAGCGCACAAGUAGAGUGAUCGAAAGAUGAAAAGCACUUUGAAAAGAGAGUUAAAAAGCACGUGAAAUUGUUGAAAGGGAAGCGCUUGCGACCAGACUCGCCCCCGGGGUUCAGCCGGCAUUCGUGCCGGUGUACUUCCCCGAGGGCGGGCCAGCGUCGGUUUGGGCGGCCGGUCAAAGGCCCCUGGAAUGUAGUACCCUCCGGGGUACCUUAUAGCCAGGGGUGCAAUGCGGCCAGCCUGGACCGAGGAACGCGCUUCGGCACGGACGCUGGCAUAAUGGUCGUAAACGACCCGUCUUGAAACACGGACCAAGGAGUCUAACAUCUACGCGAGUGUUCGGGUGUCAAACCCGUACGCGCAGUGAAAGCGAACGGAGGUGGGAGCCCCCUCGCGGGGCGCACCAUCGACCGAUCCUGAUGUCUUCGGAUGGAUUUGAGUAAGAGCGUAAAUGUGGGGACCCGAAAGAUGGUGAACUAUGCCUGAAUAGGGCGAAGCCAGAGGAAACUCUGGUGGAGGCUCGCAGCGGUUCUGACGUGCAAAUCGAUCGUCAAAUUUGGGUAUAGGGGCGAAAGACUAAUCGAACCAUCUAGUAGCUGGUUCCUGCCGAG
rnacentral:rRNA from 1 species